CCAGCAAUGGGAGCGGCGGACGGGUGAAUAACGCGUGGGAAUAUGCCCUUUGGUACGGAACAACUCAGGGAAACUUGAGCUAAUACCGUAUGAGCCGGUAACGGGAAAGAUUUAUCGCCAAAGGAUUAGCCCGCGUCCGAUUAGCUUGUUGGUGAGGUAAUGGCUCACCAAGGCACCGAUCGGUAGCUGGUCUGAGAGGACGACCAGCCACACUGGGACUGAGACACGGCCCAGACUCCUACGGGAGGCAGCAGUGGGGAAUCUUGGACAAUGGGGGAAACCCUGAUCCAGCCAUGCCGCGUGAGUGAUGAAGGCCUUAGGG
rnacentral:rRNA from 1 species